GUGCGCAGGGGCGAAUCUUUUCAAUGCUUUAAACCGUGAUCAGGGGACACCGAGUGUCAGCAUCAUAUGCUGGCUGUCCAGGUGUGUAAAAUACACCUGUUAACAAGGGGCGGGCAAGACCGGUGCCAGCCGCCGCGGUAACACCGGCGGCCCGAGUGGUGAUCAUGAUUAUUGGGUCUAAAGGGUCCGUAGCCGGUUUGGUCAGUCCUCCGGGAAAUCUGAUAGCUUAACUAUUAGGCUUUCGGAGGAUACUGCCAGACUUGGAACCGGGAGAGGUAAGAGGUACUACAGGGGUAGGAGUGAAAUCUUGUAAUCCCUGUGGAACCACCUGUGGCGAAGGCGUCUUACCAAAACGGGUUCAACGGUGAGGGACAAAAGCUGGGGGCACAAACCGGAUUAGAUACCCGGGUAGUCCCACCCGUAAACAAUGCUCGCUAGGUGUCAGGCAUGGCGCGACCGUGUCUGGUGCCGCAGGGAAGCCGUGAAGCGAGCCACCUGGGAAGUACGGCCGCAAGGCUGAAACUUAAAGGAAUUGGCGGGGGAGCAC
rnacentral:rRNA from 1 species